rnacentral:rRNA from 1 species
AAACUUUCAACAACGGAUCUCUAGGCUCUUGCAUCGAUGAAGAACGCAGUGAAAUGCGAUAAGUAAUGUGAAUUGCAGAAUCUCGUGAAUCAUCGAAUCUUUGAACGCACAUUGCGCCCUAUGGCAUUCCGUAGGGCAUGCCUGUCUGAGCGUCA